GACGAACGCUGGCGGCGUGCUUAACACAUGCAAGUCGAACGGAAAGGCCCUGCUUUUGUGGGGUGCUCGAGUGGCGAACGGGUGAGUAACACGUGAGUAACCUGCCCGUGACUUUGGGAUAACGUCAGGAAACUGGGGCUAAUACCGGAUAGGAGCUCCUGCUGCAUGGUGGGGGUUGGAAAGUUUCGGCGGUUGGGGAUGGACUCGCGGCUUAUCAGCUUGUUGGUGGGGUAGUGGCUUACCAAGGCUUUGACGGGUAGCCGGCCUGAGAGGGUGACCGGCCACAUUGGGACUGAGAUACGGCCCAGACUCCUACGGGAGGCAGCAGUGGGGAAUAUUGCACAAUGGGCGGAAGCCUGAUGCAGCAACGCCGCGUGCGGGAUGACGGCCUUCGGGUUGUAACCCGCUUUCGCCUGUGACGAAGCGUGAGUGACGGUAAUGGGUAAAGAAGCACCGGCUAACUACGUG
rnacentral:rRNA from 1 species